GGAACACUUUAGUUUUGGAACAGACUUCCGGAAUGGAUUAAGUUUGAGAACCAAGGUACCACUGCACUACCUUUAGUAAGCUAAUUCCCUCCUGAUACAAUAAACUCACUGGGUGACCUUGGGGGCUGAUUGCUGCCUCUCAGCCUACCCUCACAGGGUCUUUGCGGGGGUUAAUUGAGGAGAGGGGUGAGAACCAUGCAUGGUCUUAUUAGUGUGCACUCCUGUCUCAGCAACAUCCAUGCUGGCUUGGACAGCAGAAUGGAAGAUGGCAGGAUCUCCAAGGAUGUGCUCCAUGGUGAGCUGGGUCCCAGCACCAGGCAUCACUGGAAGGCCAACUCUGCAUUACAAAGCUGUCUGUAAAUGUGACAUGAAGACUGGCAACAUCAACCCCGCCGUGUUGGAAUCCCUUUCAGAAGAUCUCAGUGCCUGGAGACGGGCAGCCAAGUCCAUAGCAACGAAUAGAGAAGAAAUGACCACCGGGAGGAGCGCAGAGAGAAGAAAUGGCAUGGUGCAUCUGCAGCAGCUCAACUGUGGCGCUCCCAAAGCAAAGGAAGGAUUAGAUCCUGAUUAAUAGAAUAUAAGGG